ACGGAAGGCAGCAGUGGGGCAUAUUGGGCAAUGGGCGAAAGCCUGACCCAGCAACGCCGCGUGAAGGAAGAAGGUCUUCGGAUUGUAAACUUCUUUUAUGAGGGACGAAGGACGUGACGGUACCUCAUGCAUAAGCCACGGCUAACUACGUGCCAGCAGCCGCGGUAAUACGUAGGUGGCACGCGUUAUCCGGAUUUACUGGGUUUAAAGGGCGCGUAGGCGGGGAUGCAAGUCAGGUGUGAAAACUAUGGGCUUAACCCAUAAACUGCAUUUGAAACUGUAUCUCUUGAGUGCUGGAGAGGUAGACGGAAUUCCUUGUGUAGCGGGGAAAUGCGUAGAUAUAAGGAAGAACACCAGUGGCGAAGGCGGUCUACUGGACAGUAACUGACGCUGAGGCGCGAAAGCGUGGGGAGCAAACAGGAUUAGAUACCCUGGUA
rnacentral:rRNA from 1 species